UUAAUCUGGUGAAUGCGCUCUGAAUUUGCAAUUUUAACUUAGUCGAGCCAGUAACAGCUUGUUUUAUUUAAAAUAUCGUGUUAUUGGUGCGGUUCAUAAAAUAUUCAGAAUGUUAAGAAAAGAGAUGUUUUAGUUGAGUGCCUAAGUUCCUAUGAUUGGUUCAAGGAUUGUGAAAAAAUAAAGUACAUAUUUUAUUUAAAUUAUUUCCGAAUUAUAAAGUUCGAGAAAAUUCAGAUUUUAUAAAAAAAUAUUUGACUUAAAAAAUACACAAAGAUUCGAGGCCGCCUUCGUAAAAGAGUUCUACGAACAACCGCAACGGUGAUCUAACCGCUUACGAAGCUUGAAGUCGCGAUGCCGGCCACAGUAGAAGAUGAAGCGCCCAACAUCAUCAUCAAAGGCACGGCGCAAUGCGCGAUGUUGCUCUCGCAUAUUCAAAACAUCACCGACUCGACUCAACUCGUAGAGGGACCGACUGAAAUCCGUCAGUACCUCGGACUUUGGCUGAACCUCCCCUGACAAACUGACGUCAUGAGGCUCUGAAGAGGCAAGCUCCGCAUCAUGUGGGGUUCACGACAACGGCGUACAUAACGGCAUCAUCUGACCAGGGCGACUUUACCGACGACAGCUUCUAAUACAUUAAUGUGUGUUUAUUUAAUAUUCGACAUUAUUAUAUAAUCUUCAUAGAUAAUAUCACUGAUAUAAGUGCGCACUUAUGCAUGUAUUUGGUAAAGGGACGGAGACUAUCGUACACCAAAGUGCUUCACGGUAGUAUUUGUUUACGAGGAAUAUACAUCUUCUGUUUGGGCUUGCUGUAAAGUUCACGAUCACGAAAAGUUUUGCCUUAUUGGAAAAAAGUUGGAUGCUCUAACAUCUGUACGCAAAUACCUUAGACGCAGAGUGGAUAGUCUGGAUGUCAAAUUUGAAAAAUUCGGGUGUUAUAACUAGUUCCCCGACUAGUGGUAAAUGGAGGCAUAGGAGUAUAUAGUUUAGUUCGAGGUAAGGAUGUAUGUGGAUGAUAGGCAGGGUUCAUGCGAACGGUAACAGAUUGAUUAUUUUUAAAAUGAAAAGUAGAC